AUGGGCGCAGCCUGAUGCAGCGACGCCGCGUGCGGGAUGACGGCCUUCNGGUUGUAAACCGCUUUUGACUGGGAGCAAGCCCUUCGGGGUGAGUGUACCUUUCGAAUAAGCACCGGCUAACUACGUGCCAGCAGCCGCGGUAAUACGUAGGGUGCAAGCGUUAUCCGGAAUUAUUGGGCGUAAAGGGCUCGUAGGCGGUUCGUCGCGUCCGGUGUGAAAGUCCAUCGCUUAACGGUGGAUCCGCGCCGGGUACGGGCGGGCUUGAGUGCGGUAGGGGAGACUGGAAUUCCCGGUGUAACGGUGGAAUGUGUAGAUAUCGGGAAGAACACCAGUGGCGAAGGCGGCCUGCUGGACUGUUACUGACACUGAGGCACGAAAGCGUGGGGAGCAAACAGGAUUAGAUACCCUGGUAGUCCAAGGGCGAAUUC
rnacentral:rRNA from 1 species